UACGGAGGGUGCAAGCGUUAUCCGGAUUCACUGGGUUUAAAGGGUGCGUAGGUGGGCUUGUAAGUCAGUGGUGAAAUCUCCGGGCUUAACUCGGAAACUGCCGUUGAUACUAUUUGUCUUGAAUAUCCUGGAGGUAGGCGGAAUAUGUCAUGUAGCGGUGAAAUGCUUAGAUAUGACAUAGAACACCGAUAGCGAAGGCAGCUUACUACAGGAUGAUUGACGCUGAGGCACGAAAGCGUGGGGAGCAAACAGG
rnacentral:rRNA from 1 species